GUCUCAGGCCGUAUCAGCCUGAAGGCGCCCGAUCUCGUCUGAUCUCGGAAGCUAAGCAGGGUCGGGCCUGGUUAGGAUCUUGGAUGGGAGACACCUGGGAAUCCCGGGUGCUCGAGGCU
ensembl:rRNA 5S_rRNA 5S ribosomal RNA